rnacentral:rRNA from 1 species
ACCAAAAUCACUAUCACACUUGUCCAAAAUGAAGUCCAAUCCCGUCUUAUCUCGGAAGCUAAACAGGGCUGGGCCUGGUUAGUACUUGGAUGGGAGACCACCUAGGGAGACCAGGUGCUGUAGGCG